AGCCCUCCGGAACUCUGCUGCCUGGCAGUCCUUCAGUUUCGGGAGCUUUUCUGUCUGCCCGUGGCCUCGGCUGCCACCUGGUGGCUGCACGCUCCAAAGGAAGCGUAGAUUGAUGAGAGCCUCGGAAGUUGAGCUUCAGGCGCGGCUCUUCCCCGUCACACUGGGACCGGACGCAUUUCCAUGGCGUGGUCCCAGGAACCUCUCAGAGUGAACUGAAUUGGAUGCAAGAUCACGGUGCGUCAGAGCUAGCAAGAUCCUUAGGAUCAUUUAGCCUGGUUUACUAAUAUUACACUAUGGAAUUUAAGCCCAAGGAAUGGAGAGUACCCGACGAGCGUUAUGUAAGGAGUCGAGUGAGAAGUAAGCUGGAUGCUCUGCUUGGCUGGCAGGUACAGAAUGUGCCAGACCCAUCUGUACCAGCCUGGAUCUCUUGAGGCAUCAGCACAAUGGACCUGGCCACACCAGUUUAUUCCACACCGCUGAGGCUGGUACAGUUCUGGACAUGGACUUUGUAAAUAAAUAACUGGGCCUUUGGUCAGUUCUAGCUGUGAGCUUGGAGGUAUGGGGUGGGAUGGUGAGGACAGGUGGGGGCAAAGUGAGGAAAGGGGCAGGGAGGAGAGGGGAGAGAGAAAAAGGGGAAUGAGACAGGCUGAGCUAGUGAGCUGGAAUUGGAGGUUGGGAACAGGCUUUCCUUGAUGGUGGUGGUGCUGUUUUCUUUUUAAUUUUAAUUUAAUUUUAUUUUAAGUUCCAGGCUACAUGUGCAGGAUGUACAGGUUUGUUACAUAGGUAAAAACAUGGUGGUUUGCUGCAACUGUCAACCCAUCACCUAGAUAUUAAGCCCAGCAUGCAUUAGCUAUUUAUCCUGAUGCUCUCCCCACCCCUGCCCCAACAGGCCCCACUGUAUGUUGUUCCCCUCUUUUUUGUUCACUUAAAAGAUCCCACUUUUAAGUGAGAGUAUGCAGUGUUUGGUUUUCUGUUCCUGUGUUACUUUGCUGAGGAUAAUGGCCUCCAGCUCCAUCCAUGUCCCUGCAAAGUACAUGAUCUCAUUCCUUUUUAUGUCUGCAUAGUAUUCCAUGGUAUAUAUGUACCAUAUUUUCCUUAUCUAGUCUAUCAUUUAUGGGCAUUUGGGUUGAUUCCAUGUCUUUGCUACUGUGAAUAGUGCUGCAAUGAACAUAUGCUUGCAUGUAUCAUUAUUUUUUUAUUUUUUUUGAGAUGGAGUCUUACUCCCUCACCCAGGCUGGAGUGCAAUGGUGCAAUCUCUGCUCACUGCAACCUCCUCCUCCCGGGUUCAAGCAAUUCUCGUGCCUCAGCCUCCCGAGUAGCUGGGACUACAGGUGCCUGCCACCACACCCGGCUAAUUUUUUUGUUUUUUUGUAUUUUUAGUAGAGACGGGGUUUUACCAUGUUGUUCAGGCUGGUCUCGAACUCCUAUCCUCAGAUGAUCCACCCUCCUGAGCUUCCCAAAGUGCUGGGAUUACAGGCAUGAGCAACCACACCCAGCCACAUGUAUCUUUAUAAUAUAAUGAUUUAUUCCUUUGGGUACACACCCAGCAAUGGGAUUGCUAGGUCAAAUGCUAUUUCUGGUUCUAGGUCUUUGAGGAAUCACCACACUGUCUUCCACAAUGGUUGUACUAAUUUACAUUUGCUGGUGCUGUUUUCUACAUUGAAUCUGAGGGCUACUGUAUGAUGUGUAAGACACUUUCUGAUUGGAGCCUCACAAUGAUCCUACCAGGUGAUUACAACUGAGCCCAAGUUUUAGAGGAAAAAAAUGCAGACUCAGAGAGAGAAAAGUGAUUUGCCCAAGGUCACAUAGCCAGCUAGUGGCAUUGAACCCUGGCCUUUUGACUUUAAAUCUAUUGCAAAUUCUACCCCAGCAUAGGGUUCUCUUUGGGGUGUGUGUGUGUGUGUGUGUGUGUGUGUGUGUGUGUGUGUGUGUGAAAUGGGGAGAUAAAGAAGCCAACAGUGUUUGCCUUUGCAGAGCAUGCAGUCCAUUUGGAAACAUGCAUGUGGGAAAGUGGGGAGGGACCCUGUCAAGCAUCUAAGAGGAGUGGUGGCAUUUGCUGUGUCCACCUCCAUCCUUCCCACUCACUACUCAGCACCUAUAGCCUUGUCGCUCUCCCCAACACUCUGCUGAGACUGUUGUCACCAAAAACACUAUUGUCCGGCUCCCUGUUGAAAGGUAAGAUGGUCUAUCUGAUUCUUCCGCUCUCAGUAUAAUAGGAUGAUCACCAUUUUAUCUGGGAAGCUGUUCCUGACCACCUGCCCUCAGCUCAUCAAGCUUCUGUGAGCCUGCAGGCUCACCCUGGUCAUGCCGCCCAUCUCUCUGAACAAGAUUGUGAACUCUGAACUUUGUGAGGCAAAGACCACAUACACCUCUUUAUUGCAAUGUGCAAGUGUCCUGGAAUAUAGGAGGUCUCCGAGAGCUAUGUGUUGACAUGGAGACCUUAUCCCUUGCACUCAGUUACACUGCUUCCAGUAAAGUAUCAACUUCUAGAUCAGCGCCUUCAGCUCCACUCCCUCCUGCACAGCUCCACAGGUACCUCAGGUCCAAAAUGGAAUUCUUGAUCUUUCACCAACCUGAGUCCUCUGUUCCUGUAAGUGGCAUCCAUUCACCCAGACCAGAGAUAGGGGAGUCACCCAGAAUCCCCCUCUCCCUCAGUCCCUGAGUUUCACUUUCCAACAUAUCUCCCUCCAGGUUCUUUCCAACACAUCUCCCUCCAGGUUCAAGCCUCGAUCUUGCCUGAUGUUUGCAGCUGCCUGCUCCCUUGUUUUUAUUUUUACCCCCAAGUUUUCCUCUACACUGCAGCUAGGGAGACCUUUCCUGCUGGAAUACAGCCAUUCACAUCUGCGAGAGGAAUCUAAACUCAAGGCAGGUGUAGCCUAGUGGCUAUGUGCAUGAGCUUGAAGCCAAAUUUCCCUGAGCAAAUCCCAUCCUGCCAAUUUUAUAUUAGUGGGAUGUACCCCAACGAGGGUAUAUCAGGGACUGAAUAUGCAAAUUAGGGAUAAAAUGAGGCCCAUCUUAUGAGGUUGUGGUGAAGAGUAAAUGGAUGUAAAGAAAGCAUGCAGUAUGCUCAGUGAAUGACAGCCAUCGUGAUUUUCCUUUCCUUGCCUGCAAUAUCUCGAGCAGCCACUAGAUGACUCCACCUCCUUCUCCCUUUCCAGUGCUGCCAACACUACUGCUGGAACUUCUGCCUCCCCUCCCCUCCCUCACCACACAUCUCCAUGCCCGUGUUGUUCAUGUUUUUCCUUCUGCUAGCCUCACCGUCUUCGGGGCGUCUCCCUGACAUCUUUUACUACAUCUCACCCUCAGCUCUUGGAGGACGGGAUGUCCCCACGAAAACUGGCAUAGUGCCUGCAUUGAACAAGUACUCAGUGUUUGCUGAAUGAAUGAAUGUGGGUUAGUCAAUACUAGCUCAGCUGCUUACAUCACUUAGCCUCCCCGGGUCUCAGGAUCUCCUUUUAUCUGUGGUGACCAUCCAAUGUAAAGCCCUAGCAUAAGACCUAGCAUGCUUUAGACCCAUGGUUGCCGUGCACAGCCAGCUGCCUGUCAAUCAUUGCCCAUUCCCAUUGCCCACUAGCCAUUGUCCACUCUAUGUUCACCCCUGUUACCUCACCCAGCUGAGGGUCUUAAACAUAGUUUUACCUCUUCUCAAAGGUCAUUCUUUACUUGGUAGGGUAGGGUCUAGAAAGAGUCUGCAAUUUGGUUAGAGUCUAGAUUUAGUUUGCAACCCAGCUGGGCUGGGUGAGCCCAGGCUUGGCUGAUGGUUCAGCUGAGCCCAGAUGGCUCCCAUCUGCCUGGAAAGCAUAGGCUCAGCCUCCCCCUUCCCUGAACCCCUACCAAGCAUCCUGGCUGGCUGUGCUCCUGGUCCUCUUUUACUCUAGUCCAGUUCCUGUCCUGGCUUGGGCUGGGGGUAAGGGCACUUGUUUCUGGCCACUCCUCAUGGAUCUCUAGUCUCUGCCUCUGUCUUUGCCUGCUUGACCCUGGUCCUUGUGCCACUUACAUCAAUGUCCUGAAGCAAUGACUAUUUUUUAUAGGACCGACUCUCAGGAGAUGAAGAUCCAAUCACUCUAUCAAAGAAUAUGAGCAUUUCCGAGGCUCUUGUAAGACAUCCAGCCUCCAGAACUGUGAGUACUAUGCUGAAGAGAGCCCUCAUCAGCACCUGACCAACCUGACCAUGCUGCACCCUCAUCUUAGACGUUCAGCCUCCAGAACUGUGAAUACUAUGCUGAAGAGAGCCCUCACCAGCACCUGACCAUGCUGCACCCUCAUCUCAGAUGUCCAGCCUCCAGAACUGUGAGUACUACAUUUCUGUUGCUUAUAAGUGAUCCAUUCUGUGGUAUUUUGUGAGAGCAGCCUGAAUGACUAC